rnacentral:rRNA from 1 species
AUUGAACGCUGGCGGCAGGCUUAACACAUGCAAGUCGAACGAGUGGAGGACGGGGGAGUAAUGCUUGGGAAUAUAGCUUAUGGAGGGGGAUAACUACGGGAAAAUGUAGAUAAUACCGCGUACCAUAGGAUGAGACAAAGUGGGAUUAGGUAGUUGGUGAGGUAAAUGCUCACAAAGCGGACGAUGUCUAGCUGGGCUGAGAGGAUGACCAGCCACACUGGGACUGAGACACGGCCCAGACUCCUACGGGAGGCAGCAGUGGGGAAUAUUGCGCAAUGGGUGCAACCCUGACGCAGCCAUGCCGCGUGUAUGAAGAAGGCCUUAGGUUUGUAAAGUACUUUCAGCGGGGAGGCGUUACCCGCAGAAGAAGCACCGGCUAACUCCGUGCCAGCCGCCGCGGUAAUAC